rnacentral:rRNA from 1 species
CGUAGGAACCUGCCGCGGAGUGGGGGAUAACGCUGGGAAACCGGCGCUAAUACCGCAUGUGAUCAGUCAGGGGAACCUGAUUGAGGAAAGCAGCAAUGCGCUCUGUGAGGGGCCUGCGUCCGAUUAGCUGGUUGGUGGGGUAAAGGCCUACCAAGGCAUCGAUCGGUAGCUGGUCUGAGAGGAUGGUCAGCCACACUGGGACUGAGACACGGCCCAG